UACGUAGGGGGCAAGCGUUGUCCGGAUUUAUUGGGCGUAAAGAGCGUGUAGGCGGCCAGGUAGGUCGGUUGUGAAAACUCGAGGCUCAACCUCGAGAUGUCGACCGAAACCAUCUGGCUAGAGUCCGGAAGAGGAGAAUGGAAUUCCCGGUGUAGCGGUGAAAUGCGCAGAUAUCGGGAAGAACACCCGUGGCGAAGGCGGUUUUCUGGGACGGUACUGACGCUGAGACGCGAAAGCGUGGGGAGCGAACAGG
rnacentral:rRNA from 1 species